UACGGAGGGUGCAAGCGUUAUCCGGAUUCACUGGGUUUAAAGGGUGCGUAGGUGGGUUGGUAAGUCAGUGGUGAAAUCUCCGUGCUUAACAUGGAACUGCCAUUGAUACUUACUGAUCUUGAAUUUUCAGGAGGUAAGCGGAAUAUGUCAUGUAGCGGUGAAAUGCUUAGAUAUGACAUAGAACACCAAUUGCGAAGGCAGCUUACUACAGGAAUAUUGACACUGGAU
rnacentral:rRNA from 1 species